ACAGGUGCUUCUGCUAAUCAUAUAACAUCACAUCAUCUGUUGUUUGAUAGACAUGGCACAGCAACUAUGAGAAUGUCAGGCAAUCAUGACUUGAUUGUGAUCUUUAAAUGUUCUCUCAAGUGUGGUUGUUUGAGUGUGUAACAGCAAGCACAGAUUAACUGUAAUGAAGUCACCUGGAAAAAGCUGUUGAAACUGCUAAAAGCAAGCAUUAAAAUUCAGCUAGUACUUGCAACCACUAAAUUAGAGAACAGCAUCCUAGAAGCUGUACUACUACUUGAAAGUAGGAUUCUCACUUGCUGAAGUGUUGUUGAAUAGAAAGCUUUAAAACCAGAAGGUUAGAAAAUCUUCAAAGACCAGGGAAGAUUUGUGUGUCAGUGUCAAGUAAACACAAAGAGACAAGUGUUCUCUUUUGAGGUUGCUUUUUAUUCCAGUGAGUAACUUCAAAGGCAGGGGCAUCCUAAUGCGAGGAGAAGGGAAUUGUCAGGACCUCUUCCAGAGAUGUGCUCUGGAUCUCAGUUUCACAACCCACCUGGCUAAGGAGGAGUGUUAAAAGAUGUUAAGAAGGGUGCUGGUUUUUUUCUUCCUCGUCAUCAAUCGUUUUUGUUUUAUUUCGUUGGCUGUACUGCACUACUUUUUGCAUAGUGUAACCGUGAGGUCAUUGUGAGGUUAAUUUAUUUCUCAUAAAGAUGAGCCCUUAGCAGAACACCACUGGCACAGAGGAACAGAAGUAACUGCUACUGCAGCAAUCCCCUGGACUGAAGAACAGAUUAUUUCUUCCUUCAGGGGCAGAAUAUCCAAGUGAAUCUGAAUAUUGGUGUAGAAGAAAAUGCAAGUCACAUCUUGAAGCAGUGUUUGCGCACCUACUACGAAGGCAGGGCCAACCCAGGGGAGCUCAUGCAAUGCACCAGAGCGACUGGAAGUGGUGGAGCCAGGAUCCACCUCUUCCCAGACCUCACUGAAGGGCUGGCAGUGAAGGCAAGAGUAUCUCACUGGAGAUCCCUUCCUACCCGUGGCCCUCUGAAGGUGUGGAAGUUGUGAUGGGUCACAUCAAGCUUCUCCAACUGGAAAGAGAAGACAGGCUUGUCACUACAUGCCACUGUAUUUUAUGAUCAACAGAAGAGCACCUGAAAUCCCAUCAGCAUAUCUUCAAAGGUUAUCCAUAAGGAGUAUAGUGGAGAGAAUGUUGAAUGCAGACUGUAGUGAGUGUCACAGGUUAUCUACUUGUCCACACAAGUGGAUACAGAUAAGAUACUGCACAGCACAAGCAAUAUCCCUCUUCAAAGAAGAGAAGGAUUCAAGCUGACUCUUAUCAACAGCUUACUGCAUAACUGAAGUCACUAUUGAAGGGUAUACGCUGAAAACAUUGUGAUCUUCCUGGACAACAAGAAUAUUACCUGUGAUUCCUUGCAGUCUGGGGACCUGGAAGGGGAUUGAGCACCCCAGAAAAGGGUGCAAAGGUUGGAGCCCUCAAGGUAAUGAGCCACGGGCUGGGGAAGCAAUGCACGAAGGAGCAAAAAUGCCUAGGUGUGUCAGGCCCGACGGUAAGGGUCCUAUCAUCAGUUACAAAAGGAGAAACAAAAAUGUGGUCAAUAGUAACAGUCUCUACUGUGUUACCUGGGUUGUGGGUUAACUGCUUCAUGUUCUUCCCUCUCAGAAACUUGUACUUCAGUAUGAUAUGGCACAAGGUUUUAUUUGUGUGCCAGCCCACAUCAGCC
ensembl:lncRNA